rnacentral:rRNA from 1 species
UUUGUACACAACGCCCGUCGCUACUACCGAUUGAAUGGCUCAGUGAGGCGUCCGGACUGGCCCAGAGAGGUGGGCAACUACCACUCAGGGCCGGAAAGCUCUCCAAACUCGGUCAUUUAGAGGAAGUAAAAGUCGUAACAAGGUCUCCGUUGGUGAACCAGCGGAGGGAUCAUUA